UUUAUAAACCUGAACACCAACAUACUUGUUAUCUAAUGAUAAUGCAGCACAUGAAGGCUACAGAUGUCUUAUAACGAAUGUCAUCAAGUCAGUGAUUACAGAGUCCACUGUAGUUUGGUGACUGUUACUCAUCCUGUAUUCUGAUUAAUAUUCCUCUCACUUAGAAACUGAUCAAACUGAUGGCAGCCUUGGAGCGUUGCAGACACGAAUAGAGGAGCUUGUCGUCAUCAUCAGAGUGCGAACACAAAGUCUUUACAGACAAAAUGAUAGCAACAAGAGGCGACACAGAAUUCGCAAGGUCAUCUUAGUUGAGAAGAAACGCUUGGCGGCUGCUGUUGACGACUACAACAAGCUUGCUGAACCAACAAA